UACAGAGGUCCCGAGCGUUGUUCGGAUUCACUGGGCGUAAAGGGUGCGUAGGUGGCGCCGUAAGUCGGGUGUGAAAUUUCGGAGCUUAACUCCGAAACUGCAUUCGAUACUGCGGUGCUUGAGGACUGGAGAGGAGACUGGAAUUCAUGGUGUAGCAGUGAAAUGCGUAGAGAUCAUGAGGAAGACCAGUGGCGAAGGCGGGUCUCUGGACAGUUCCUGACACUGAGACACGAAGGCCAGGGGAGCAAACGGG
rnacentral:rRNA from 1 species